rnacentral:rRNA from 1 species
AUGGCCGAGUGGUCUAAGGCGCCAGACUCAAGUUCUGGUCCUCUUACGAGGGCGUGGGUUCAAACCCCACUUCUGACAUGUUUUGUUUUUGUUUUUGGCUCCAUAAAAAUAUGA